AUUUGUAUAAUAUAAUUAUUAUAUUUGACUUCCAAUCAAAAAAUCUAAAUCCUAGUACAAAUA
rnacentral:tRNA from 1 species